rnacentral:lncRNA from 1 species
UUCGUAUGCGCGUAAAUGUUCAUGUAUGCAGCGUUCUUCAACUUUUGUGGGGAGCGGUUCAAGUCGUUCCCUUUGCCAGUCCUGUCCCCUUUUCAUCAAAUUAGAAACCUUGACAUCGAUUUGAUAUUUCAUUAACCUAAUUCAUGCCUAACUUUAUGAUAUAAUCAAAUUAUAACCUAUUCCUCUUGUUCUUCUAACCUUGUGUGGGCUGAGUUGUGUUGGAGUCUCUCCUUCUGCAACCAAAAGAGUAGUUGUGCAGGGUAGUUGUUUCGAGGGGUGUAGAUCCUUCCUGUUCUAAGGGGAGGCUGGCUGUAAGGCAUGCUCGGUGGUGAUGGGGAUUGAGAUAGUUGACUCUUCUUCCGCCACAUCCUCACUUUGCAAGUGCCAACUCAUCACUUUCUGUUCCGAGCCCUGCCACCCUGUACACGCCACUCCACCAGCCAAGAACCCAGGGGAACAGUGAAAUGACGUGGACGCCAAGUUGAGGGUGGGUGACUAUAACCCCACUGCUGACUGUGUCAUUCCCAUGGCUUCACAGGGCGCCAAGUAGCCCCUUCGCAAUUGUGAUAUAAAAUACUCUUCAUCUCAUUUCUCUCUCUCGUUGCACGCUUUGCAAAUCCCUUCAGGAUUCUGUUUGCUAUAAAGCUGCUAUGCUGUUGACUCAUUUUCUCACUUUCUUUCCUUCUUCCUUUCCAACAGCAACAAUAAUAAUAGUAAUUUUUUAAAAAAUAUAUUUUUGUAUGGUAGCUUGGACCACCAUGAAAAAUCAUAGUGCACUUAGUGGCCAUCAGGGGUAGCAUUGUAAAACAGAUAUUGCUGCUGGAAAAUUUCUGAAGUCCAUGCUUGAUCAUUGAACCUAAUUUAGUUUACAGAGGAAGAAUUUAAAACACUGUAGAUUUAUAAUGUGCCAAUGGGCAUAUAUAUAUAUAUAUAUAUAUAUAUAUAUAUGUUUGAACAAUUGUUUAAUAAAAG